UUACAGUUUGAUCCUGGCUCAAGACCAUCGCUGGACGGCGUGCUUAACACAUGCAAGUCAAGCGAUGAAACUUCUUCGGAAGUGGAUUAGCGGCGGACGGGCGAAUAACACGUGGGUAACCUGCCCUAUAGUGGGGAAUAGCCUUUCGAAAGGAAGAUUAAUACCCCAUAAGAUUGUAGUUCCGCAUGGAACAACAAUUAAAGGAGCAAUUCGCUAUAGGAUGGACCCGCGGCGCAUUAUCUAGUUGGUGAGGUAACGGCUCACCAAGGCGACGAUGCGUAGCCAACCUGAGAGGGUGAUCGGCCACAUUGGGACUGAUACACGGCCCAUACUCCUACGGGAGGCAGCAGGGGGGAAUAUUGCACAAUGGGGCAAACCCGGAGCCAGCACCGCGGCGGGAGGGAGGACGUUUUUGGGUUGGUAAAGUUCAUUAGCCAGGGAGGAUAAAGGCGGUACCUGAGGUGGGAGGCUCGGCUUCCUUCGUGCCCGCCGCCCCGGUUCUUCGUUGGGGGCCGGGGUUGUUCGGGUUUUCUGGGGGUUAAGGGGGGGUUGGGGGGCUUGUUAGUUCGGUGUGGNAUUUCCGGGGUUCGCCUCCGGGGUGCCUUCCGCGCUGGCUGUGUUGGGUUCUGGGGGGGGAAGGGGGGUUUCUGGUGUUGCGGUGGCGUGGGUUGGGGUUUGGGUGGGCCCCCGGGGGGGUGGCGGCUUUUUUGGCCCUUNCUGGCGGUGGGGCUCGGUUGGGGGGGUGGGCGCCCGAAAGGGGUUCCCUUGUUNUUCCCCCCCUUNNCGGUCCCUCCAAGGGGAGGGGUUGUCAUGACCUCUGUGCCGCCGCUAACGCAUUAAGUAUUCCGCUUGGGGAGUACGGUCGCAAGAUUAAAACUCAAAGGAAUUGACGGGGACCCGCACAAGCAGCGGAGCAUGUGGUUUAAUUUGAAGCAACGCGAAGAACCUUACCAGGGCUUGACAUCCCUCUGACCGGCUGGGUAAAACCGGCCUUUCUUCGGACAGAGGUGACAGGUGGUGCAAAAUUGUCGUCAGCUCGUGUCGUGAGAUGUUGGGUUAAGUCCCGCAACGAGCGCAACCCUUGUCAUUAGUUGCCAUCAUUGAGUUGGGCACUCUAGUGAGACUGCCGGGGACAACUCGGAGGAAGGUGGGGAUGACGUCAAAUCAUCAUGCCCCUUAUGUUCUGGGCUACACACGUGCUACAAUGGUCGGUACAAAGAGCAGCGAGACCGCGAGGUGGAGCAAAUCUCAAAAGCCGAUCCCAGUUCGGAUUGCAGGCUGCAACCCGCCUGCAUGAAGUCGGAGUUGCUAGUAAUCGUGGAUCAGAAUGCCACGGUGAAUGCGUUCCCGGGUCUUGUACACACCAGCCCGUCA
rnacentral:rRNA from 1 species